rnacentral:rRNA from 1 species
AUCUAUGGUUGUACCACCCUGAACAUGCCUGAUCUUGUCUGCUCUUGGAAGCUAAUCAGGAUCAGGCCUGGUUAAUAUUUGGAUGAUCAUUUAAGUAAUCAUUUAAGAUU